rnacentral:piRNA from 1 species
CAUAGUCCAAAGUUUCCCUCAUAA